rnacentral:pre_miRNA from 12 species
CCCUGCUGGGGCUAAAGUGCUGACAGUGCAGAUAGUGAUCCUCUCCGUGCUACCGCACUGUGGGUACUUGCUGCUCCAGCAGGG